rnacentral:rRNA from 1 species
AUGUAAGAAUUUAAAGGUCGAACAGACCUAAACUUUGAACUUCUACACCCAAAAAUAACUCUUAAUCCAACAUCGAGGUCGCAAUCUUUUUUGUCGAUAAGAACUCUUAAAAAAAAUUACGCUGUUAUCCCUAAGGUAACUUAGUCUUAUAAUCAGUAAAACUGGAUCAAUAAUUCAAUAAUUUUUGUAAUUUUAUAAAAAGAGUUUAAUUAAUCUUCCUGUCACCCCAACAAAAUAUUUAUUUUAAUAAAAUUUAAAUACUUCUAUAAAUAAACUAUUAUAUAAAUAUAAAGCUCUAUAGGGUCUUCUCGUCCUUUAAUUAAAUUUAAGCCUUUUAACUUAAAAGUUAAAUUCUAAUUUCAUUUAAAUUGAGACAGUCAAUACCUCGUUCAAUCAUUCAUUCUAGCCCUCAAUUAAAAGACUAAUUAUUAUGCUACCUUUGCACGGUCAAAAUACCGCGGCCCUUUAAAUAUUCAGUGGGCAGAUUAGACUUUAAAUUAUUUUCUAAAAG